rnacentral:rRNA from 1 species
AACGAACGCUGGCGGCAUGCCUAACACAUGCAAGUCGAACGAGACCUUCGGGUCUAGUGGCGCACGGGUGCGUAACGCGUGGGAAUCUGCCCUUAGGUACGGAAUAACUCAGGGAAACUUGAGCUAAUACCGUAUAAUGACUCCGGUCCAAAGAUUUAUCGCCUAAGGAUGAGCCCGCGUCGGAUUAGCUAGUUGGUGAGGUAAAAGCUCACCAAGGCGACGAUCCGUAGCUGGCUGAGAGGAUGAUCAGCCACACCGGGACUGAGAUACGGCCCAGACUCCUACGGGAGGCAGCAGUGGGAUAUUGCGCAAUGGCGGAAGCCUGACGCAGCAACGCCGCGUGCGGGAGGAAGGCCUUCGGUCGUAACCG